rnacentral:rRNA from 1 species
UACGAAGGGUGCUAGCGUUACUCGGAAUCACUAGGCGUAAAGCGCAGGUAGGAGGUUCGAUAAGUCUGUUGUGAAAGCUCCCGGCUUAACUGGGAGAGGUCAACGGAAACUGUCGAGCUAGAGUGUGGUAGAGGUAGCUGGAAUUCCCGGUGUAGCGGUGAAAUGCGUAGAUAUCGGGAGGAAUACCUAUGGCGAAAGCAGGCUACUGGACCAUCACUGACUCUGAUCUGCGAAAGCUAGGGGAGCAAACAGG